rnacentral:rRNA from 1 species
AUUGAACGCUGGCGGAAUGCUUUACACAUGCAAGUCGAACGGCAGCACGGGGGCAACCCUGGUGGCGAGUGGCGAACGGGUGAGUAAUACAUCGGAACGUGCCCAGUCGUGGGGGAUAACGUAGCGAAAGCUACGCUAAUACCGCAUACGAUCUACGGAUGAAAGCGGGGGAUCGCAAGACCUCGCGCGAUUGGAGCGGCCGAUGGCAGAUUAGGUAGUUGGUGGGGUAAAGGCUCACCAAGCCGACGAUCUGUAGCUGGUCUGAGAGGACGAGCAGCCACGCUGGAACUGAGACACGGUCCAGACUCCUACGGGAGGCAGCAGUGGGGAAUUUUGGACAAUGGGCGCAAGCCUGAUCCGGCCAUUCCGCGUGCAGGAUGAAGGCCCUCGGGUUGUAAACUGCUUUUGUACGGAACGAAAAGGCUCUGGUUAAUACCCGGGGCUCAUGACGGUACCGUAAGAAUAAGCACCGGCUAACUACGUGCCAGCCGCCGCAGUAACAC